UACGUAGGGUGCAAGCGUUAAUCGGAAUUACUGGGCGUAAAGCGUGCGCAGGCGGUUUUGUAAGUCUGUCGUGAAAUCCCCGGGCUCAACCUGGGAAUUGCGAUGGAGACUGCAAGGCUAGAAUCUGGCAGAGGGGGGUAGAAUUCCACGUGUAGCAGUGAAAUGCGUAGAUAUGUGGAGGAACACCGAUGGCGAAGGCAGCCCCCCUGGGGAUAAACACUGACGCUCAUGCACGAAAGGCGUGGGGAGCAAACAGG
rnacentral:rRNA from 1 species